CACAGAGGAAGCCAGGUGGCGACACCGCGCGGAACCGAAGCCGUUCUCAGUUCGGAUCGGAGUCUGCAACCCGACUCCGUGAAGCUGGAUUCGCUAGUAAUCGCGCAUCAGCCACGGCGCGGUGAAUACGUUCCCGGGCCUUGUACACACCGCCCGUCAAGCCAUGGAAGCCGGGAGUGCCUGAAGUGCGUGACCGCAAGGAGCGUCCUAAGGCAAUACCGGUGACUGGGGCUAAGUCGUAACAAGGUAUC
rnacentral:rRNA from 1 species